rnacentral:rRNA from 1 species
UACGAAGGGGGGCUAGCGUUGCUCGGAAUCACUGGGCGUAAAGGGUGCGUAGGCGGCGCGGUAAGUCGGGUGUGAAAUCUCGGAGCUUAACUCCGAAACUGCAUUCGAUACUGCCGUGCUUGAGGACUGGAGAGGAGACUGGAAUUUACGGUGUAGCGGUGAAAUGCGUAGAUAUCGUAAGGAAGACCAGUGGCGAAGGCGGGUCUCUGGACAGUUCCUGACGCUGAGGCACGAAGGUCAGGGGAGCAAACGGG